GGAACGAUCGUAUAGUCAGCAGUAUAACGGAUUCCAAACCCGUUGGCAGGGGUGCAAUUCCUCUUCGUUCCAC
rnacentral:tRNA from 1 species